GCGGCAGCGGGCUGUAGCAAUACAGUGCCGGCGAGCGGCGGACGGGUGNAGGAAUACAUCGGAAUCUACCUUGUCGUGGGGGAUAACGUAGGGAAACUUACGCUAAUACCGCAUACGAACUACGGUUGAAAGCGGAGGACCGCAAGGCUUCGCGCGAUUGGAUGAGCCGAUGUCGGAUUAGCUAGUUGGCGGGGUAAUGGCCCACCAAGGCGACGAUCCGUAGCUGGUCUGAGAGGAUGAUCAGCCACACUGGAACUGAGACACGGUCCAGACUCCUACGGGAGGCAGCAGUGGGGAAUAUUGGACAAUGGGCGCAAGCCUGAUCCAGCCAUGCCGCGUGUGUGAAGAAGGCCUUCGGGUUGUAAAGCACUUUUGUUCGGGAAGAAAAGCUACCGGUUAAUACCCGGGAGUCAUGACGGUACCGAAAGAAUAAGCACCGGCUAACUUCGUGCCAGCAGCCGCGGUAAUACGAAGGGUGCAAGCGUUACUCGGAAUUACUGGGCGUAAAGCGUGCGUAGGUGGUGAGUUAAGUCUGUCGUGAAAGCCCCGGGCUCAACCUGGGAAUGGCGAUGGAUACUGGCUCGCUAGAGUGCGGUAGAGGAGAGUGGAAUUCCCGGUGUAGCAGUGAAAUGCGUAGAGAUCGGGAGGAACAUCAGUUGCGAAGGCGGCUCUCUGGACCAACACUGACACUGAGGCACGAAAGCGUGGGGAGCAAACAGGA
rnacentral:rRNA from 1 species